rnacentral:lncRNA from 1 species
UUUUAACCGUAUUAUCCAAAAAACAGGUACCGAACCAGCACCAAAUUAAACUCGAAACUUUAUAUAAGUUUUUAAUUUUUUAUCGCAAUCAAACUGAGAGCUAACUAAUUAAUCCGAAACCAAACCUAAAUUCACAAAUAAUCGAACGGUCCCUUUAUUUCUUAAUUCGAAAAAAAAAACAAAAUCACAACCGACACCG